rnacentral:rRNA from 1 species
UGAACGCUGGCGGUAUGCUUAACACAUGCAAGUCGAACGGUAACGGUCCUUCGGGAGCCGACGAGUGGCGGACGGGUGAGUAACGCGUAGGAAUCUGCCUGGUAGUGGGGGACAACGUGGGGAAACUCACGCUAAUACCGCAUACGCCCUACGGGGGAAAGCGGGGGAUCUUUGGACCUCGCGCUAUCAGAUGAGCCUGCGUUGGAUUAGCUAGUUGGUGGGGUAAAGGCCUACCAAGGCGACGAUCCAUAGCUGGUCUGAGAGGACGAUCAGCCACACUGGGACUGAGACACGGCCCAGACUCCUACGGGAGGCAGCAGUGGGGAAUAUUGGACAAUGGGGGCAACCCUGAUCCAGCAAUACCGCGUGUGUGAAGAAGGCCUGAGGGUUGUAAAGCACUUUCAAUAGGGAGGAAAAAGCGUUGGUUAAUACCCGAUGCCUUGACAUUACCUAUAGAAGAAGCACCGGCUAACUCCGUGCCAGCAGCCGCGGUAAUACGGAGGGUGCGAGCGUUAAUCGGAAUUACUGGGCGUAAAGCGUGCGUAGGCGG